GCAAGUCGAACGCGUCUCCGUUAAUGAUUUUAAGUGCUUGCACUUGAAAGACCAUCAUUGAGACGAGUGGCGAACUGGUGAGUAACACGUGGGUAACCUGCCCUUGAAGUAGGGGAUAACACUUGGAAACAGGUGCUAAUACCGUACAACAACCAAAACCACCUGGUUUUGGUUUAAAAGACGGCUUCGGCUGUCACUUUAGGAUGGACCCGCGGCGUAUUAGCUUGUUGGUAAGGUAACGGCCUACCAAGGCGAUGAUACGUAGCCGACCUGAGAGGGUAAUCGGCCACAUUGGGACUGAGACACGGCCCAAACUCCUACGGGAGGCAGCAGUAGGGAAUCUUCCACAAUGGACGAAAGUCUGAUGGAGCAACGCCGCGUGAGUGAUGAAGGGUUUCGGCUCGUAAAACUCUGUUGUUGGAGAAGAACAGGUGUCAGAGCAACUGUUGACAUCUUGACGGUAUCCAACCAGAAAGCCACGGCUAACUACGUGCCAGCAGCCGCGGUAAUACGUAGGUGGCAAGCGUUGUCCGGAUUUAUUGGGCGUAAAGCGAGCGCAGGCGGUUUUUUAGGUCUGAUGUGAAAGCCUUCGGCUUAACCGGAGAAGUGCAUCGGAAACCGGGAGGCUUGAGUGCAGAAGAGGACAGUGGAACUCCAUGUGUAGCGGUGAAAUGCGUAGAUAUAUGGAAGAACACCAGUGGCGAAGGCGGCUGUCUGGUCUGUAACUGACGCUGAGGCUCGAAAGCAUGGGUAGCGAACAGGAUUAGAUACCCUGGUAGUCCAUGCCGUAAACGAUGAGUGCUAAGUGUUGGAGGGUUUCCGCCCUUCAGUGCUGCAGCUAACGCAUUAAGCACUCCGCCUGGGGAGUACGACCGCAAGGUUGAAACUCAAAGGAAUUGACGGGGGCCCGCACAAGCGGUGGAGCAUGUGGUUUAAUUCGAUGC
rnacentral:rRNA from 1 species